AAAGGAUGGAACAAUAGUUUUGAUCCUAUUGUACAUUUACAAUCGUGUGAAAAGUGUUUCAUGUGUAAAAUUGUAUUAGGGGACAGAUAGGAGGAUGACGAGAACAUGGGCAGAUUGAAAAUCAUACCCAAUAUUGGGCCUUAUCUGACAAAAGCAACUAUAACUCACAGGCAACAAAAUGGACAGAGACAAGAACAGCUGCAGCAGGCAGAGCUCACCUUCAGACACCAGAUCGCAGUUCAUGAGAAUAAUGCUCAGGACAACUGAAUCAAGCCUCGGAUCUGGGAGAGGGAAAUGGCAGAGCAGAGCCAGGAGGUCGCCCGCUUGAAACACAGACUGGAUGGGACGGAAGGAAAGAGGCUGCUUGAGGGAUACAGGAGACAGAGACCAAUGCCUGGAAGUCCAGAGAAACAGAACCCUCCGAGGAGAGGUAAGGAGCAUGUGGGGAUGUGCAGCAGCCUAAUUUCUGCGGCAAAGCCUUUUCCUGUGGGUGAUCAUCGUGUGUCCUGGA